GCGGUGAGGCUUGGAACAUGACCUAAACGCAACACAACAUGAGUAACAACUGUAUUACUGGCUCUCUACCUUAAUCGCUUAUUUCUAAGGGCUGAUGUUUAGAGAAUACGUGUUAUCUCUUAAAAGAAAAUAAAAGUUCGUUUUACAGGUCUUUUCAAGCAUCUGUACCAGAAAGCAGAGGAAACAGAAGCAUGAUGUGCCCCCCACCCCCACCCCCAGCUUUGCAUUCUCUCCUACAAACCCCACAGGUCUGAGAUUGCUCUGACAUUUACAUGGAGCAUUCGCCCUGAUACUUUAUGUAGUCAGCAGCACCCUCCUUCCCCUCCUUCAGCAAAUGUAUUUUCAAUUUACCAAUAAAAAAUCAGAGUAUUGGACCGCGCUAAA